GACGAACGCUGGCGGCGUGCCUAAUACAUGCAAGUAGAACGCACAGUUUAUACCGUAGCUUGCUACACCAUAAACUGUGAGUUGCGAACGGGUGAGUAACGCGUAGGUAACCUGCCUGGUAGCGGGGGAUAACUAUUGGAAACGAUAGCUAAUACCGCAUAAUAUUGAUUAUUGCAUGAUAAUUGAUUGAAAGAUGCUAUUGCAUCACUACCAGAUGGACCUGCGUUGUAUUAGCUAGUAGGUGAGGUAACGGCUCACCUAGGCGACGAUACAUAGCCGACCUGAGAGGGUGAUCGGCCACACUGGGACUGAGACACGGCCCAGACUCCUACGGGAGGCAGCAGUAGGGAAUCUUCGGCAAUGGACGAAAGUCUGACCGAGCAACGCCGCGUGAGUGAAGAAGGUUUUCGGAUCGUAAAGCUCUGUUGUAAGAGAAGAACGGGUGUGAGAGUGGAAAGUUCACACUGUGACGGUAUCUUACUAGAAAGGGACGGCUAACUACGUG
rnacentral:rRNA from 1 species